UUGGAGGGCAAGUCUGGUGCCAGCAGCCGCGGUAAUUCCAGCUCCAAUAGCGUAUAUUAAAGUUGUUGCAGUUAAAAAGCUCGUAGUUGAAUUUCGGAAUCAAUAUGUUGGUCGUGCCUUGGUACGUACUAAUUUAUUGGUUUCUUCCUUCUGACGAACCAUUAUGUCAUUAAUUUGGUGUCUUGGGGAAUCAGGACUGUUACUUUGAAAAAAUUAGAGUGUUUAAAGCAGGCUCACGCUUGAAUACAUUAGCAUGGAAUAAUGAAAUAGGACGUUUGAUUCUAUUUUGUUGGUUUCUAGGAUCGACGUAAUGAUUAAUAGGGAUAGUUGGGGGCAUUAGUAUUCAAUUGUCAGAGGUGAAAUUCUUGGAUUUAUUGAAGACUAACUACUGCGAAAGCAUUUGCCAAGGAUGUUUUCAUUAAUCAAGAACGAAAGUUAGGGGAUCGAAGACGAUCAGAUACCGUCGUAGUCUUAACCAUAAACUAUGCCGACUAGGGAUCGGAUGAUGUUAAUUUUUUAAUGACUCAUUCGGCGCCUUACGGGAAAC
rnacentral:rRNA from 1 species